GAUGAACGCUGGCGGCGUGCCUAAUACAUGCAAGUCGAGCGAACAGACGAGGAGCUUGCUCCUCUGACGUUGGCGGCGGACGGGUGAGUAACACGUGGAUAACCUACCUAUAAGACUGGGAUAACUUCGGGAAACCGGAGCUAAUACCGGAUAAUAUAUUGAACCGCAUGGUUCAAUAGUGAAAGACGGUUUUGCUGUCACUUAUAGAUGGAUCCGCGCCGCAUUAGCUAGUUGGUAAGGUAACGGCUUACCAAGGCGACGAUGCGUAGCCGACCUGAGAGGGUGAUCGGCCACACUGGAACUGAGACACGGUCCAGACUCCUACGGGAGGCAGCAGUAGGGAAUCUUCCGCAAUGGGCGAAAGCUUGACGGAGCAACGCCGCGUGAGUGAUGAAGGUCUUCGGAUCGUAAAACUCUGUUAUUAGGGAAGAACAAAUGUGUAAGUAACUAUGCACGUCUUGACGGUACCUAAUCAGAAAGCCACGGCUAACUACGUG
rnacentral:rRNA from 1 species